AGUGAACGCUGGCGGUAGGCCUAACACAUGCAAGUCGAACGGCAGCACAGUAAGAGCUUGCUCUUACGGGUGGCGAGUGGCGGACGGGUGAGGAAUACAUCGGAAUCUAUUUUUUCGUGGGGGAUAACGUAGGGAAACUUACGCUAAUACCGCAUACGACCUACGGGUGGAAGCAGGGGAUCUUCGGACCUUGCGCGAAUGAAUGAGCCGAUGUCGGAUUAGUUAGUUGGCGGGGUAAAGGCCCACCAAGGCGACGAUCCGUAGCUGGCCUGCGUGGAGGUUCAGCCACACUGGAACUGGAACACGGUCCAGACUCCUACGGAGGGCAGCAGUGGGGAAUAUUGGCCAAUGGGCGCAAUCCUGAUCCAGCCAUACCGCGUGGGUGAAGAAGUCCUUCGGGUUUUAAAGCCCUUUUGUUGGGAAGGAAAAGCAGCAGGUUAAUACCCCGCUGUUCUGACGGUACCCAAAGAAUAAGCACCGGCUAACUUCGUG
rnacentral:rRNA from 1 species